GACGAACGCUGGCGGCGUGCCUAAUACAUGCAAGUUGAGCGCUGAAGGUUGGUACUUGUACCGACUGGAUGAGCAGCGAACGGGUGAGUAACGCGUGGGGAAUCUGCCUUUGAGCGGGGGACAACAUUUGGAAACGAAUGCUAAUACCGCAUAAAAACUUUAAACACAAGUUUUAAGUUUGAAAGAUGCAAUUGCAUCACUCAAAGAUGAUCCCGCGUUGUAUUAGCUAGUUGGUGAGGUAAAGGCUCACCAAGGCGAUGAUACAUAGCCGACCUGAGAGGGUGAUCGGCCACAUUGGGACUGAGACACGGCCCAAACUCCUACGGGAGGCAGCAGUAGGGAAUCUUCGGCAAUGGACGAAAGUCUGACCGAGCAACGCCGCGUGAGUGAAGAAGGUUUUCGGAUCGUAAAACUCUGUUGGUAGAGAAGAACGUUGGUGAGAGUGGAAAGCUCAUAAAGUGACGGUAACUACCCAGAAAGGGACGGCUAACUACGUG
rnacentral:rRNA from 1 species